GGGGAUGUAAAGGUUUCGACGGGGACGCUCAAGCAUAGAGUAGCUAUUCGUAGUCGCAAAUCUACGUUAAAAAUUGCAAAAAUUAAAUUAAACGCAGACAGAAAUAAUUUAGCAUACGCAGCCUAAUUUAAGGCGUGUAUCGUUUUACCAGAGAACUCCCGCGGCUUUGGAUAAAACGUCGAUUAGUGGGCAACUUAAGUUUGUUUUUCUCGCCAAACUUUAAGCAAAUAGAGAAUACCUGAACUAGAGUUUGUCUUUAGACGCUAGCUAAGGGAAAUUUAAAAUAAAGACUAUAAUAGUAGAAGCUUUAUGUAACAGGUUUUCGGACAGGGGUUCGAUACCCCUCAUCUCCAUUA
rnacentral:tmRNA from 1 species